rnacentral:rRNA from 1 species
UACGUAGGUGGCGAGCGUUGUCCGGAUUUACUGGGCGUAAAGAGCGCGCAGGCGGUCGUUCAAGUCGCGUGUGAAAGCCCCCGGCUCAACUGGGGAGGGUCACGCGAUACUGAUCGACUCGAAGGCAGGAGAGGGUAGUGGAAUUCCCGGUGUAGUGGUGAAAUGCGUAGAUAUCGGGAGGAACACCAGUGGCGAAGGCGACUACCUGGCCUGUUCUUGACGCUGAGGCGCGAAAGCGUGGGGAGCAACAGG